rnacentral:misc_RNA from 1 species
AGAGGGUGAGUACUCCGGAACCAGUUUCGAUAGCAGUCUUAAUGUUUCCAGGUCCUCAAGAAUAUUGCUUUGUUUGUUGGUUACCAGUAGCAGGUACAAAGCUUCAAUUGGUUGAUAUACGUAGCGGACGUUCUCUGUCUCAAUGUACGUGUGUUGCUUUCCAAUUCCAACCAAUUUUGGAAAUGCUGCAAGUAACCCUUCAAUCCUUAUCCGAGUCAUAUCCACAAACUGUCUCGAAACAAGAGCUUUCCCUGAUUUGCUGAUGAUAGAAGCCGCAAGAACCACCAUGGUGAAUGUCUGGGAUCGAAAUUGCCACUCUAUUCAGCUCGAUACCGGAGGGGGAGACGACGGAGGCCGGGCUGGGAUGCCGUCGAGUACGAGCGGUGCGAGUUGCGG